rnacentral:rRNA from 1 species
UACGUAGGGUGCAAGCGUUGUCCGGAAUUAUUGGGCGUAAAGAGCUCGUAGGCGGUUUGUCGCGUCUGCUGUGAAAACCCGAGGCUCAACCUCGGGCCUGCAGUGGGUACGGGCAAACUAGAGUGCGGUAGGGGAGAAUGGAAUUCCUGGUGUAGCGGUGGAAUGCGCAGAUAUCAGGAGGAACACCGAUGGCGAAGGCAGUUCUCUGGGCCGUAACUGACGCUGAGGAGCGAAAGCGUGGGGAG